AUGUAACUUUAAAAAAAAUUAAAAAAUUGAACAGAAUGAAGAAAAUAAAACAGCGAACAGAAUGAAGAAAAGAAAGAAUCUCAAAUUCUUCUUACUGUAGUUAUAAUCAUUGGCUCUAAUAUUCACAAUACUCGAUGAUUCAGAAAGAAAAGAAAAAACAAGAAAAUCCAUCUCUUCAGUUUUAAAAUUCCGAUUUUUCAAAUAAGUAUAUUCUAUAUCACUCAUUGUUUACUUUAUACACAAAUCAGAAGUAGAAAGUUGUUGAACUAGAGAAGAUCAGUAACCAGUGUCCCUUUUCCUAGUAACCCGAAUAUAGCAAAAAACAGCUGCAAAAACGGCGGUAACAAAACCACCGAUGAUUACUCCCCCACCUGCCACUGACUUGUCUGUUGAAUGGUGUUUUCCCAGUCGACGAAUAUUUGGAGCCUCAGCAGACUCAGCAGAAACUUUAUGAUCUUCAACUUUAUCAGUGUUAUGAUCAUGAAGUUCAACUCCAAUUUGAGUUUUAUGUUCUAAAGGGAAUGGUGACUGUGCCUUAGACUCAUGUGUCAUUGCUUGAACUUGAACUACUAAGAUAUGUACUAGUAGCAGAACAACAAAACCAAUCUUGUUCAUUCUGGAUAAAUGUGAAGGCCUUUUGCAAAUGCAAUGCAACUCUACUUUUGAUAGUAUGAUAGAUUCCAGGUUUUAUUUUAUGAAAGAGUGAAUAUAUUAUAUAAUCACUUGUUAGAUUCUGAUGAAAAGCACACGAGUUGAAGGGAUUUUUAUAUAGAUGGGAAUCAUUGAG
rnacentral:lncRNA from 1 species